rnacentral:lncRNA from 1 species
AGGACACCAUGAUUGGUCAGAUCUCGGUCACAUGACUACCUUAGUUGCCAGGAUGGUCAGGGACUCUGACCAGAAGAAGGGAAAUGGGGAGGACCGUUCAGAGAAGCCGAAACCAGCAGAUACCCAGACCGACAAACAUUGCUGCCAUGUGAGGAAGCAGAUACUGAGAAGAAGCAUGGAGGCGUGCCCAUUGGAGGUUUCGUGGGCGAAUACUGAAAGGGGCUUGCAUCACAUCUAUCGGUAUUCCUUUGGAAAGGAACAUAGUCCUGGCCACACCAAACUGCAGGGGCGGCUUGUAAUUGUAGUCCCUAGCUGAGCAUCCAUGUCAAUCUGUGAUUCUGCCACUGGAGAAGAGGAGAACGGAUUUUAGUGACAAUUCACAGUUUAUGCCACCUUGGGGAGUGGGGAGGAGAAGCAGGAAGGAGACGUAAGGGAGAGAAAGAGGAAGCUGACUUCAGCAAACAAGCAGAAUAAUAUAGUAGUUAAGGUCUCCACCAAAGAGGUCCAGGGGCACGGCCUGUGGCCUCAGCCAUUCCAGGCCACGGUGAUGCUCAGAGUUCACAGGCAGCGAUGUCCUGCUUCCAGGGGAUGGCUGCUGUGGCAUGAGUUCCGCAACGGCAUUGGUCAGAAGCACAGUCUUCUCCCCGGACAGGAGUCUGAGAGGAGGGCUCCCCAGGCACAUGCUGUACGGCAGUGAGACUAGCUGCAGGCCGCUCUUCCCCGUGGACCUGUCCUAAUACGUCCUAUUCAGAGUGUGAACAGGGCUCAGCUUCCAGGUGAUUCCAGAGAUUCCGCCUGGGGUAGAAAGGCACUGACAGAUGGACAUUCGAUAGAUGAACAAAGGUGGAUGCCAUCACGCCUCCAUGUGCCCCUCUGCUACAGAGUAACAGGAAGGCAGAGACUGGAUUCGAGGUUUUAGAAGUCACCAGCUUCUACUCAGCUUGUUCUUCCCCAAAUAAAUGGUGCACAAAAGAGGCCUCCACACCCUCCUGCUCUGCAUCCUUUAACCCUUUGGGAGGUACCUCCGCUGUCAUUCCACAAAACCCAGACUCUUUACCUACAGUGAGAACCGUCUCGGCACACGGACACUUUAGGCAGCUCCUAUGGGCAGCAUGCGGGCUGCAGACACACUGAACAGUAUCCAACGGCUAUCACUCGGAAUGUAUUCGCAGAUAAUGUAUGCGCCCCAGAAUCAAUGAGGAAGUUAUCUCCUCCAGACAAUUGGCACAAAGGCAGGAAAUUUUCCGUAUCCCUCCAACACAGCCAGCUAUUGUCGCCUCUGGCACACGAGAUGAUCAAUGCGCAAGCGACGAUGGAUCCAGAUUUCGAUUCUUACGAUUAUGCACAUGGGCCAUUUUUUCCCCUUUAUAGAUCCUCGACACUUAACCUACUCAAUGGUUUUUAUUUACAUUGAUCACAUUUUAUGGUAUGAUUAAAUUUGUAUGGAAGAGAA